rnacentral:misc_RNA from 1 species
GCGGCUGCCCUUAUUCGCCGCCUGAUUACUGAACAGGGCCUCCAGCACUGGCGGCGCUAUACGGUCGCUUUCGUCCUGAUGGCGUUAUCCGCCGGCGCGACAGCCGCGUCCGCCUGGCUGCUUGGCGAAGUGAUCAACCAGACCUACGUCAAUCGCAGCAUCAACGGCAUCGUGAUGCUGUCGCUGGCGAUCAUCGUUCUGUUCACCCUCAAGGGCGCAGCGACCUACGGUCAUACGGUCAUCCUGUCGAAGAUCAGCAACGCCAUCCUUGCUAGCAAUCAGCGCCGG